CCUCGGGGGGCUGCAGUGGGGAAUAUUGGACAAUGGGCGAAAGCCUGAUCCAGCCAUGCCGCGUGUGUGAAGAAGGCCUUCGGGUUGUAAAGCACUUUCAGUGGGGAAGAAAGCCUUGGGGCUAAUACCCUCGAGGAAGGACAUCACCCACAGAAGAAGCACCGGCUAACUCCGUGCCAGCAGCCGCGGUAAUACGGAGGGUGCGAGCGUUAAUCGGAAUUACUGGGCGUAAAGCGCGCGUAGGCGGUCUGAUAAGCCGGUUGUGAAAGCCCCGGGCUCAACCUGGGAACGGCAUCCGGAACUGUCAGGCUAGAGUGCAGGAGAGGAAGGUAGAAUUCCCGGUGUAGCGGUGAAAUGCGUAGAGAUCGGGAGGAAUACCAGUGGCGAAGGCGGCCUUCUGGACUGACACUGACGCUGAGGUGCGAAAGCGUGGGUAGCAAACAGGAUUAGAUACCCUAGUAGUC
rnacentral:rRNA from 1 species